CGCCUGAAUAACACACCUCGAUUUUUUUUUCAAAUUCUAAUGUAAAGCUGCAUCUGAGACACCUGGCAGCAGCUAACUACUAGCUACAGGGAUAUGUUAAAGCAAUUAAAACAACGUCAAGAGUUGACCAGAAAACCACUGAUAUGAAUGCAUGACGCGGCAACCGUUGCCAUGGAAACGGAGCUCCGCUGCGACGCCGCCGGCAGAGAGUGCGUCUGGAAACAGACGGAGGAAAGUUGGACCACGUUCACAGACAUAAUCACUCUGCCUCAAAUUAUUCAUGGGCUCAGGACGCGGCGAGGAUCGAGCCUCUGUGAAUUUUACGUGAUCAUCUGUUACCUGGGACGCAAACACCGACAUCAUGGACAUAGAAAAAGAGGAAGUCAUUUACAACUCAGAGACUAACACUUACUGCUAGACUACAUCAUCACCGAGCAGCAGCAGGAGGAAAAACAAAGGCAGACGCCACGGGCCGUAAAAACCUUCAAUACAGUGUGAGAACCUCAGCGAUGCAAAGUUAAGUGUUUAAAUGUGAUUAAAACUGUAUUUGUGGCUGUUUACGUCUAACUGAUUAUUUCAUUUAUUUGACUUUAUUGGUGAACUGUUGGCUUUUGAUGACGCUUUAAUGUGAAAUUGUAAAAACUGUAAACUUCUUCUAAGCUGGUUGAACAGAGAUGAUGAUAAGUCACGUCUGUAUGAAAGAACAAGAAAGCAGUGAGUGGAAUCUUCUUCACACGUUUCUUUGUGUUUUGGUGGCAGAAAACCAGUGUGUGCACUGGCACCACCAGUAUUUGUACUGUGCGUGGGUGGGCUUUGGAAACACGAGAAAGAGCCACAAAGAAGUGUGUGUUUGUAUCAAAAUCCAUGUCUGUGUGUGUCAGUCUGUUUAUGUGACUGAUUCUGUGACACGCGGGUAAACCUUGGAGCUUGUUGGUUGAAAACAGCAUAAACACAGGGGCAGAAACUGAAGGGACCACCGUAGGGGGCCAUGUUUGUAAGAGGUCUUGUGGGUGGGAGGUUAAUUUAUCAUCCAAUAUUAAAUCAUUGACACUUGUUAGCAUCCCUGCAAUUUCUAAUUGUUAAAGAACAAAACAUAUAGUAGAAAGGCAUACGAUACUGGUUUAGCUGUUACGGCUCCACAGAGGCCUUUUGUCAUAUGUCAUCUGGCCUUGUCUGGUUUCUAUCAGUUGUUGGUCCAGCGUCUUCAUCGGUGUCAUCUGUUUUCUUAGAUCAAACAAACACAAUGCAAUCAAAACCCAUCACAUUGCACCAGCAGUACACACGAACCAGUUAACAAACUAACUCUAAACUGUCUGUGUUGAAUUAAUAGCCCCUCAUGACACGAGGAGCGUUGUUAGUGCAGAGUUGAUGUAUGAUGAUCAUGUUAGUUCUCUCACGGUUUAUCUCCCACCGCAGGAACUGCACAAACUCAAAACAUCUUAGAGUCUUGCCUCAUUUAUUGCACUUGCACUUUAUUACACAGUUGACCUGCGACCUUGUCAUAUGUUCAAACUGUCAUCUUAGUUAUGUAGGGAAGCAUUGUUAUGCUAAAAUCUGCAACUGUCACAUCUACUGCAGGAAUGGCAGAUAUGAUAUAUAUAUAUGAUCUAUAUGAUGUCAAACCAGUAUGAUUUUAAACCAGUAUGAUAUCAAACCAGUAUGAUAUCAAACCAGUAUGAUGUCC